UGGGGAAUAUUGGACAAUGGGCGAAAGCCUGAUCCAGCCAUGCCGCGUGUGUGAAGAAGGCCUUAUGGUUGUAAAGCACUUUAAGUGGGGAGGAGAAGCUUAUGGAUAACACCCAUAGGUUCUGACGUUACCCACAGAAUAAGCACCGGCUAACUCUGUGCCAGCAGCCGCGGUAAUACAGAGGGUGCAAGCGUUAAUCGGAAUUACUGGGCGUAAAGCGAGCGUAGGUGGUUUAUUAAGUCAGAUGUGAAAUCCCUGGGCUUAACCUAGGAACUGCAUCUGAUACUGAUAAACUAGAGUAGGUGAGAGGAAAGUAGAAUUCCAGGUGUAGCGGUGAAAUGCGUAGAGAUCUGGAGGAAUACCGAUGGCGAAGGCAGCUUUCUGGCAUCAUACUGACACUGAGGUUCGAAAGCGUGGGUAGCAAACAGGAUUAGAUACCCUGGUAGUCCACGCCGUAAACGAUGUCUACCAGUCGUUGGGUCUUUUAAAGGCUUAGUGACGCAGUUAACGCGAUAAGUAGACCGCCUGGGGAGUACGGCCGCAAGGUUA
rnacentral:rRNA from 1 species